GGGGGUGAAAAGUUUCGACAGAAAUUUAACUAAGAUAGGCAAGUCGAGUAUUCUCAAAUCUCGUAAACUUUGAGAGAAAAAUAAGUGCCAACUUAUUUCAAGAACCUGCAUUAGCUUACGCUUAAUGCCAUCUGCUUUACUGAUUCUCGAUAAAUAAGGUAGGUGUCAUAUAUCGAGAUAGAUAGUUUUUAAGGUCUAAAGAAACUAUCGAAAAAAAACAGACCAAACACAGAAAAGUUUUGUCCAAUUUGAAUUUUCUGUUAUUCUUUAAUUGGAAUAAGCUUGUAGAAUUAUCUUAGAAACAAUUUUUGGACGCGAGUUCGCGCUCGCCACCUCCACAA
rnacentral:tmRNA from 1 species